rnacentral:rRNA from 1 species
UACGUAGGGUGCAAGCGUUAAUCGGAAUUACUGGGCGUAAAGCGUGCGCAGGCGGUUUUGUAAGUCUGUUGUGAAAUCCCCGAGCUCAACUUGGGAAUUGCAAUGGAUACUGGCAGGCUGGAGUAUGGUAGAGGAAGGUGGAAUUCCCGGUGUAGCAGUGAAAUGCGUAGAGAUCGGGAGGAACACCAGUGGCGAAGGCGGCCUUCUGGACCAAUACUGACGCUCAUGCACGAAAGCGUGGGGAGCAAACAGG